rnacentral:rRNA from 1 species
AGAGUUUGAUCCUGGCUCAGGAUGAACGCUAGCGACAGGCCUAACACAUGCAAGUCGGAGGGGCAGCAUUUUUUGAAGCUUGCUUCAAAAGAUGGCGACCGGCGCACGGGUGAGUAACGCGUAUGGAACCAACCCGCGAACAGGGGGAUAACCCGGAGAAAUCCGGACUAAUACCGCAUGGUACUCUUUGCACAGAAGUGUGAAGA